rnacentral:rRNA from 1 species
UACGUAGGGUGCGAGCGUUAAUCGGAAUUACUGGGCGUAAAGCGUGCGCAGGCGGUUCGUUGUGUCGGCGGUGAAAGCCCCGGGCUCAACCUGGGAAUGGCCGUUGAAACUGGCGAACUGGAGUGUGGCAGAGGGGGGGUGGAAUUCCGCGUGUAGCAGUGAAAUGCGUAGAGAUGCGGAGGAACACCGAUGGCGAAGGCAGCCCCCCUGGGCUGACACUGACGCCUCAGGCACGAAAGCGUGGGGGAGCAAACAGG